rnacentral:rRNA from 1 species
GACGAACGCUGGCGGCGUGCUUAACACAUGCAAGUCGAACGGAAAGGCCCUGCUUUUGUGGGGUGCUCGAGUGGCGAACGGGUGAGUAACACGUGAGUAACCUGCCCUUGACUUUGGGAUAACUUCAGGAAACUGGGGCUAAUACCGGAUAGGAGCUCCUGCUGCAUGGUGGGGGUCGGAAAGUUUCGGCGGUUGGGGAUGGACUCGCGGCUUAUCAGCUUGUUGGUGGGGUAGUGGCUUACCAAGGCUUUGACGGGUAGCCGGCCUGAGAGGGUGACCGGCCACAUUGGGACUGAGAUACGGCCCAGACUCCUACGGGAGGCAGCAGGGGGGAAUAUUGGACAAUGGGCGGAAGCCUGAUGCAGCAACGCCGCGUGCGGGAUGACGGCCUUCGGGUUGUAAACCGCUUUCGCCUGUGACGAAGCGUGAGUGACGGUAAUGGGUAAAGAAGCACCGGCUAACUACGUG